rfam:Asian citrus Psyllid, Diaphorina citri - Florida Strain, whole genome shotgun sequence.
GCCUAGUUAGCUUAAUUGGUAGAGCGUCUGCGUUAUAAGCGCUAGGCCGCGGGUUCGAUUCCCGCCCGGGGCG